rnacentral:lncRNA from 1 species
UGUAUGUGCGCUGGGCCGGGGCGGGACAUUUCACAACCUCUAUCACACCAGCCCUUAAACCUUCGAGAAAGGUGAGGAGCCGGAGAGACACAUCUAUUCAAUCCCCAAGGCUAAGGAAAGGCUGAUGGACAGGCCCUCCCCAGAGCCCGAGAGGCCUCCAGACACUGAGCCUUUGGAGAGCCCACAGCAGGAGAAAGAGGCAGCUGAGCAGGAAUGGCCUGUGUCUGAAGUCCAAGGUAGGACACGCCCAGGAAGGGACAGGAGGUUUGUGACUCAAGGAGUUUGGAGAUGGGUCUGAGUGAAGGGAUGCUGGAGUCAGGGGGCGGGUCCUCAUGACAGAAGGGUUUUGAGGUCCUGGAUCCAGGAGGUGGACAUCCCGAAUCCUAGAUGGAAGGUGUCAGUUCGAGAAAGGUUUAGGUGUGCUCCCGAGUGACGGGUGCCCUCCCCAGUCAGGAGGGCCUGGCCAGGAGUUCCUGCUGUGCUGAAAAGGAAUCAGUGACGCCUAUGCAGGACCAGGACACAGGUUCAAUCCCUGGCCUGGCACAGUGGGCUAAGGGUCCGGUGUGGCUUCAGCUGCGGCUAGGUCACAACUACAGCCCAGAUCUGAUCCCUGGCCUGGGA